rnacentral:rRNA from 1 species
UCAGACGAUGCGUCAUGCAUAUCAAUAAGCGGAGGAAAAGAGGGCUAUUACCUACGCUUAGGAUGUUGACGCGCGUGUGUGCGUGAGUCUAUACAUGACUCUGUGCAUAUCAAUAAGCGGAGGAAAAGGUACCUACGCUUAGGAUGUUGACGCGCGUGUGUGCGUGAGUCUAUACAUGACUCUGUGCAUAUCAAUAAGCGGAGGAAAAGCCAACUACCUACGCUUAGGAUGUUGACGCGCGUGUGUGCGUGAGUCUAUACAUGACUCUGUGCAUAUCAAUAAGCGGAGGAAAAGGUACCUACGCUUAGGAUGUUGACGCGCGUGUGUGCGUGAGUCUAUACAUGACUCUGUGCAUAUCAAUAAGCGGAGGAAAAGAAACUAACAAGGAUUCCCCUAGUAACGGCGAGUGAAGCGGGAAGAGCUCAAAUUUGAAAUCUUAAAGGGUUUCCCUUUACGAAUCGUAGUUUAAAGAAGUGUUUUCUGUUGAGGUUUUGGUAAAAGUUCUUUGGAAUAGGACAUCAUAGAGGGUGAGAAUCCCGUAUUUGACCUUUACUUUCAACUUUGUGAUACACUUUCAAAGAGUCGGAUUGUUUGGGAAUGCAGUCCAAAAUGGGUGGUAAAUUUCAUCUAAAGCUAAAUAUUGGCGAGAGACCGAUAGCGAACAAGUACCGUGAGGGAAAGAUGAAAAGAACUUUGAAAAGAGAGUUAAACAGUACGUGAAAUUGUCAAAAGGGAAGCGUUUGACACCAGUGUUGUUUUUCUGAAAAUCAAUUAAAGAACUGUUUAUGCUAAGCUGUUUAGACUUUAUCAGCUAAUCUGUUUAGUUUUGAGCUUUUCUUUAAUGCACUUUUCAGUUAACAAGUCAACAUCUAUUUCUUUUGCUGUAAAAAAGCUUGAGGAAGGUGGCUUGAGAUUCGUCUUAAGUGUUUAUAGCCUCUUGCCUAUGCAGUCGGAGAGAUUGAGGUCUGCAGCGUAGAUCCUUCGGGGCUAAAUGCAUUUGUGCUAAGUUAUAGGCAUUUUAUAGACAACUUGUUGACUAUGAUUUGUCUUGUAGCUUACUCGCUUAUGUUAUUUUACCUACGCUUAGGAUGUUGAAGAUGUAGCACAUCAU